ensembl:lncRNA
AUGGUACCUACGUUGAUGGAGAUGAAAAGGGAUCGUGCAUCAAGUUGGUCAGAAACGGGAACAGCAGGAGAAGCAGAAGCGCAGGCACGGUUCCCGCCCUUGCACACCUGGCAGGGCUCGCGGAGAACCAGGCCGAAGCCAACGGUCUCCCCAGGUGCCCUGCAGACACAGGGUGAGCAGCUGAGCAAAACGCAAUGGCGCAUGAGGUGCACGAGCGAGAACAGCAGGACUGUGUCAACUGCUGUAAGCAGAUUUCAUGCGGAGGCUCCUUAUCAAAAUCCGGAAUCAGACAGCUCAAGGCUGCAGAAGGAAAAAAGUAAGCAAGGGCUGGUUUAAAAUUUAGCUCCAACUCACACCUUCGGGGCAUCCCAUACACCCCGAGGCAGAACCGGCAAGCGCUUCCUUGGAUGAAGUUCCCUUUAAGAGCGGCCGUGCUCUGGGAAACUGAGAGGGUGCUAACAGUGGGUCUCCGAGAUAGAGAAUAGGAGAUUAAAAUUCAAACCGGAUUCUGUUCUCAGUUUGGGUUUUUUCUUACUAAAUGAUUCUAAUUUGACUCUGAAUUUCAGUAGGAAUGACAGGCACUUUCUAGAGCCUGUUCCCACCCUCAAGUGGAGACUGGCUAAGGAGACGAACGCUUGGUGCCCUGGGGUUUCAAUAUAGUGCUUGUGCGCUUUCUGGGGAAGAGGACAGAAUACCAUUACGAAAUGGAUUUUGUGUCCAAGAUGAUGAAUACUGAAAUUUUCCCAGUUUCAUUCUCAAGCAGAUAAAACAAUAUUCUUAUCAGAUUAUCAUCGUAGCUUUUCAAAUGUGCUCUGCGGUGGGUUUGCGUAAGCCACGGCACAGUGCCCACACGGACACAAGGCGCCUCAUCGCCGUGCCUCACCGGCCAGUGUGCAUAGCACUUCCCUCAAACGCUUCUUAAACAGCAGAUUCUCGUGCUCUGCUACCUGCAGUCUGGGGACUCACAGACCCCACCGUGAGAACGAGGUCUAAUUACGGCAAUCGUUUGGACGUCCGCAUCCCACCUUCCAGAGACGAGAAAGGAGGAUGCUCAUGUUUUGAAAGAGCUGGGCUUCGGCACUCAGCACUGAAGAAUUCAUCUGGUUGCCAGGCGCACAUCGUGUCUGUUGUACGUUCAAGUCGGUGAAGCAGGCGUAGCCACCUACCCUGAUAACACAGACCUGUGGCCUUGUGUGAAGACAGCCCUUCCCCUCCCUGCCUGCCACAGUGCGAAGAAGCGGGUACCCCCAAGAGUCAGUUAAUACAGGAAGGCACGUGUGCCCUUCGUCCAGAUGUCCUGAUUAUGGACCAAGAGUCGACAUGAGGUACCAGCUAAAGGCUCACACCUGCAGUGGGGAAUGCCCAUUUUCCAACAAUCACAUGACCAAAAACACAAGACCACAGGUUGACCAAGGCCGAGACCACUUCGAUGCCCCUUCCCCUCCUCUACCUCUAACAAAAGUUUGGAAAGAAGGGCGCCUGGGUGGCUCAGUAAGUUAAGCGUCUGCCUUUGGCUCAGGUUACGAUCCCAGGGUCCUGGGAUUGAGCCCCACAUUGAGCCCCACAUCAGGUUCCCUGCUCAGUGGGGAAUCUGCCUCUCCCUCUGCCCCUCUUCCUGCUUGUGCACACACGUGCCCUCUCUAAUAAAUAUAUUUUUUUUAAAGUUUGGAAAAGAGAG